rnacentral:rRNA from 1 species
UACGUAGGGGGCUAGCGUUGUCCGGAAUCAUUGGGCGUAAAGCGCGCGUAGGCGGCCAGAUAAGUCCGGUGUGAAAGUCACAGGCUCAACCUGUGAAUGCCGCUGGAAACUGUCUGGCUUGAGUCCGGAAGGGGCGAGUGGAAUUCCUGGUGUAGCGGUGAAAUGCGCAGAUAUCAGGAGGAACACCGGUGGCGAAGGCGGGUCUCUGGGCCGAUACUGACGCUGAGGAGCGAAAGCGUGGGGAGCGAACAGG